rnacentral:rRNA from 1 species
CAGCCGCCGCGGUAAUACGUAGGUGGCAAGCGUUGUCCGGAAUUAUUGGGCGUAAAGGGCUCGCAGGCGGUUUCUUAAGUCUGAUGUGAAAGCCCCCGGCUCAACCGGGGAGGGUCAUUGGAAACUGGGAAACUUGAGUGCAGAAGAGGAGAGUGGAAUUCCACGUGUAGCGGUGAAAUGCGUAGAGAUGUGGAGGAACACCAAUGGCGAAGGCGACUCUCUGGUCUGUAACUGACGCUGAGGAGCGAAAGCGUGGGGAGCGAAUGGGAUUAGAUACCCCGGUAGUCCCUGUCUCUUAUAU